rnacentral:lncRNA from 1 species
UAUUUACAUCCUUACCUGCUGGGAAAUCAUGAAGAACGACAGCAUGAGGAGCACCACUGUCAACAGGCUUCUGAGCGUGGCUUGGAUCCUUAGGGGGAGAAAAGGGCUGUGAAUGAAGUGUGCAGGAUAGAUGGUGGAUUUAUUAUUCACUCUGAGACCAAUUUUUUUUUUCUCAUUAGAGUCCUCUUGACACAAUUACAUUAUGAGUACAUGAUGCAAACCACACAGUUGAGCCAAACAAGGGAAUUAUUAUCAAGUUGAAGAAGAAUGUGUCCUUGCUAAGGGAGGAUGAAAAUCUCAAUUAAAAUAUCCCCCAGUAUGUUUUCUUUUUGCUUUUUUAAGCUGAGAGAGUAAAACAAAAGGGAACUGUUUAUUUAUUUUGAAACAGUAUCUAUUC